AAAUCGCAUCUAACGUGUCUUGGUGUUAUUUUGCUCUCCUUAACAUUGUGCACGGAUGCAUCGAGCACAUGCAGUUGCUCCAGUGGCGAGAGUUCGUGUUAAAAAGAGGAGAAACGGACCAUCAGACAAUGCACUUACACUAAUCUGAGAGAUGGCAGAGAUUCGGGACAAAUCAUGACAUGUGAUUUCAGAAAGACUCGCUCUGACACAGCUCUGCGUGUUACCUACCAGGGAGAUUUGAGAGUAAUAAGUGGCAAUAACGUUUGUCGACGUUGGUUCUUGACAAUCAAUGGCAGAGAAUGUCAAUCACCUGCUACAAUUGAAACUCAAAUCCACCCUAUUGGAGUCUCCGGCCUGAAUAACCAUCGCCCUGCUACUGUGGAUGGUUUUUGUGAG